rnacentral:lncRNA from 1 species
CGGGAAACGCUUGCUUUAUUAAUUCUACGCAUGCGCAGGCGUUACUACAUUUAUAUCACUAGCAGAGAGAUACAUAUCCGCCAUCUCCAGUGCCGAGACCACCAGAUCAUGUGAAUACGACCGGUCUUUUCAAAUGAUAGACGCUAGACAGCAGGGACUCCUCUCCCCGCCAGCUAAUUGCGACACCAGCUCCUGUUCUGACACUGUUUUUGUACAUAAGUCCUUGAACUGGUUAAGAGCAUUCUUGAUAUGAGAAAUAAGGGCAGCGAUGGUGACAUGAGUUUAUUGAAGUAGUUACUGAAUGCCAAGCACUUUGUCUAAGCCUUCUUUCUAAAAAACAGAAACACCCCACAAAAAUAGAACCCCCCUCCCUCAUCGACUGGAGCUGCCGACAUUUUUCUAGAUAUCAACUAGGAAAUUUUUUAAGCUGAAUAUCAUUAAUGUCAGCCUCACCAAUAAGUGGAAUCUUUCAGAAACUGGAUAUUGCUCUAUUGAAAAUAGUUCUAAAUUACACUGUGUUCAAUUGCAGCCUCAUUGCCAAUUUUUUGCAUUAAAUUGUUUUACAGUAGAAAGCACAGAUUUAGUAGAUCAAAAUCAGUGGAAAAUGUUAAAGCUUUCGCAAAAUGCAGCCAAAAUAUGGUUGAGACAUAAAGGAACAGAAGUAUGAAUAUAUGAUUGAUGCAAGCAGAAUAAAUUAUAAAGUAUCACGUUCGAUCGCCAACAUUCGAGGACAUUGUCACGUGAUAAGCAGAGGACGCUGAACAUUUGUUUGAGAGAGUUUUUAUGUUGAUUUCACCAAGAAAUGUCUUUUGCUGCUUGAUGUUAGUGUCGUUAAGACUCAUUGAUGGAUAGAAUUACUUUGAUAUAAUCUCAUAUAUUUAUUGCCAUACAUUUUUAUCUAAUCAUUAUCACCUCAUUAAAAUUUAUAUCACUUCGACGACGCCAUUGGAGCCACCUUCCAAUAGCUGUUCCACUUUUCAUUACUCAAAGAAAGUUUCUUCGUUUUCAAAUGGAUCUGCUAUCCCGACCGCAUAAAGAUACAUUUACUACAGAUACUUUUGGAACCAUGUCAUUGAGUGUUUCAGAUAAUCCUUUAGACUUCUGGGAAGAACUGAUGAUUGACAAAGUUUUCACAAACUGUGAUGAAGACUGUAGUGGCAAAGUGUCCAUUAACAAAUUGAUAAAUUAUCUUAAACAAUUAACAAGUAAUAAUU